UUAAGCGACUAAGCGUACACGGUGGAUGCCCUGGCAGUCAGAGGCGAUGAAGGACGUGCUAAUCUGCGAUAAGCGUCGGUAAGGUGAUAUGAACCGUUAUAACCGGCGAUUUCCGAAUGGGGAAACCCAGUGUGUUUCGACACACUAUCAUUAACUGAAUCCAUAGGUUAAUGAGGCGAACCGGGGGAACUGAAACAUCUAAGUACCCCGAGGAAAAGAAAUCAACCGAGAUUCCCCCAGUAGCGGCGAGCGAACGGGGAGGAGCCCAGAGCCUGAAUCAGUGUGUGUGUUAGUGGAAGCGUCUGGAAAGGCGUGCGAUACAGGGUGACAGCCCCGUACACAAAAAUGCACAUAUUGUGAGCUCGAUGAGUAGGGCGGGACACGUGGUAUCCUGUCUGAAUAUGGGGGGACCAUCCUCCAAGGCUAAAUACUCCUGACUGACCGAUAGUGAACCAGUACCGUGAGGGAAAGGCGAAAAGAACCCCGGCGAGGGGAGUGAAAAAGAACCUGAAACCGUGUACGUACAAGCAGUGGGAGCCUCUUUAUGGGGUGACUGCGUACCUUUUGUAUAAUGGGUCAGCGACUUAUAUUCUGUAGCAAGGUUAACCGAAUAGGGGAGCCGAAGGGAAACCGAGUCUUAACUGGGCGUUAAGUUGCAGGGUAUAGACCCGAAACCCGGUGAUCUAGCCAUGGGCAGGUUGAAGGUUGGGUAACACUAACUGGAGGACCGAACCGACUAAUGUUGAAAAAUUAGCGGAUGACUUGUGGCUGGGGGGGAAAGGCCAAUCAAACCGGGAGAUAGCUGGUUCUCCCCGAAAGCUAUUUAGGUAGCGCCUCGUGAAUUCAUCUCCGGGGGUAGAGCACUGUUUCGGCAAGGGGGUCAUCCCGACUUACCAACCCGAUGCAAACUGCGAAUACCGGAGAAUGUUAUCACGGGAGACACACGGCGGGUGCUAACGUCCGUCGUGAAGAGGGAAACAACCCAGACCGCCAGCUAAGGUCCCAAAGUCAUGGUUAAGUGGGAAACGAUGUGGGAAGGCCCAGACAGCCAGGAUGUUGGCUUAGAAGCAGCCAUCAUUUAAAGAAAGCGUAAUAGCUCACUGGUCGAGUCGGCCUGCGCGGAAGAUGUAACGGGGCUAAACCAUGCACCGAAGCUGCGGCAGCGACACUAUGUGUUGUUGGGUAGGGGAGCGUUCUGUAAGCCUGUGAAGGUGGCCUGUGAGGGUUGCUGGAGGUAUCAGAAGUGCGAAUGCUGACAUAAGUAACGAUAAAGCGGGUGAAAAGCCCGCUCGCCGGAAGACCAAGGGUUCCUGUCCAACGUUAAUCGGGGCAGGGUGAGUCGACCCCUAAGGCGAGGCCGAAAGGCGUAGUCGAUGGGAAACAGGUUAAUAUUCCUGUACUUGGUGUUACUGCGAAGGGGGGACGGAGAAGGCUAUGUUGGCCGGGCGACGGUUGUCCCGGUUUAAGCGUGUAGGCUGGUUUUCCAGGCAAAUCCGGAAAACCAAGGCUGAGGCGUGAUGACGAGGCACUACGGUGCUGAAGCGACAAAUGCCCUGCUUCCAGGAAAAGCCUCUAAGCAUCAGGUAACAUCAAAUCGUACCCCAAACCGACACAGGUGGUCAGGUAGAGAAUACCAAGGCGCUUGAGAGAACUCGGGUGAAGGAACUAGGCAAAAUGGUGCCGUAACUUCGGGAGAAGGCACGCUGAUAUGUAGGUGAAGCGACUUGCUCGUGGAGCUGAAAUCAGUCGAAGAUACCAGCUGGCUGCAACUGUUUAUUAAAAACACAGCACUGUGCAAACACGAAAGUGGACGUAUACGGUGUGACGCCUGCCCGGUGCCGGAAGGUUAAUUGAUGGGGUUAGCGGUAACGCGAAGCUCUUGAUCGAAGCCCCGGUAAACGGCGGCCGUAACUAUAACGGUCCUAAGGUAGCGAAAUUCCUUGUCGGGUAAGUUCCGACCUGCACGAAUGGCGUAAUGAUGGCCAGGCUGUCUCCACCCGAGACUCAGUGAAAUUGAACUCGCUGUGAAGAUGCAGUGUACCCGCGGCAAGACGGAAAGACCCCGUGAACCUUUACUAUAGCUUGACACUGAACAUUGAGCCUUGAUGUGUAGGAUAGGUGGGAGGCUUUGAAGUGUGGACGCCAGUCUGCAUGGAGCCGACCUUGAAAUACCACCCUUUAAUGUUUGAUGUUCUAACGUUGGCCCGUAAUCCGGGUUGCGGACAGUGUCUGGUGGGUAGUUUGACUGGGGCGGUCUCCUCCUAAAGAGUAACGGAGGAGCACGAAGGUUGGCUAAUCCUGGUCGGACAUCAGGAGGUUAGUGCAAUGGCAUAAGCCAGCUUGACUGCGAGCGUGACGGCGCGAGCAGGUGCGAAAGCAGGUCAUAGUGAUCCGGUGGUUCUGAAUGGAAGGGCCAUCGCUCAACGGAUAAAAGGUACUCCGGGGAUAACAGGCUGAUACCGCCCAAGAGUUCAUAUCGACGGCGGUGUUUGGCACCUCGAUGUCGGCUCAUCACAUCCUGGGGCUGAAGUAGGUCCCAAGGGUAUGGCUGUUCGCCAUUUAAAGUGGUACGCGAGCUGGGUUUAGAACGUCGUGAGACAGUUCGGUCCCUAUCUGCCGUGGGCGCUGGAGAACUGAGGGGGGCUGCUCCUAGUACGAGAGGACCGGAGUGGACGCAUCACUGGUGUUCGGGUUGUCAUGCCAAUGGCACUGCCCGGUAGCUAAAUGCGGAAGAGAUAAGUGCUGAAAGCAUCUAAGCACGAAACUUGCCCCGAGAUGAGUUCUCCCUGAGACUUAGAGUCUCCUGAAGGAACGUUGAAGACGACGACGUUGAUAGGCCGGGUGUGUAAGCGCAGCGAUGCGUUGAGCUAACCGGUACUAAUGAACCGUGAGGCUUAACCUU
rnacentral:rRNA from 2 species